UACAGAGGGGGCAAGCGUUGUUCGGAAUUACUGGGCGUAAAGGGCGCGUAGGCGGCCUCUUAAGUCGCACGUGAAAUCCCCGGGCUCAACCCGGGAACUGCGUCCGAUACUGGGGGGCUUGAAUCCGGGAGAGGGAUGUGGAAUUCCAGGUGUAGCGGUGAAAUGCGUAGAUAUCUGGAGGAACACCGGUGGCGAAGGCGGCAUCCUGGACCGGUAUUGACGCUGAGGCGCGAAAGCCAGGGGAGCAAACGGG
rnacentral:rRNA from 1 species